rfam:Vitis vinifera, whole genome shotgun sequence of line PN40024, unoriented chromosome 1, chr1
AGCAAAAUGAUGAGGUAGUGAGAUCUGAAAUUGAUGUGGAAAGAUAGAGAAUAAUAUGGUCUUCAAAGUUCUCUGAUUGCU